rnacentral:rRNA from 1 species
GACGAACGCUGGCGGCGUGCCUAAUACAUGCAAGUCGAGCGAGCUUGCCUAGAUGAAUUUGGUGCUUGCACCAAAUGAAACUAGAUACAAGCGAGCGGCGGACGGGUGAGUAACACGUGGGUAACCUGCCCAAGAGACUGGGAUAACACCUGGAAACAGAUGCUAAUACCGGAUAACAACACUAGACGCAUGUCUAGAGUUUAAAAGAUGGUUCUGCUAUCACUCUUGGAUGGACCUGCGGUGCAUUAGCUAGUUGGUAAGGUAACGGCUUACCAAGGCAAUGAUGCAUAGCCGAGUUGAGAGACUGAUCGGCCACAUUGGGACUGAGACACGGCCCAAACUCCUACGGGAGGCAGCAGUAGGGAAUCUUCCACAAUGGACGCAAGUCUGAUGGAGCAACGCCGCGUGAGUGAAGAAGGGUUUCGGCUCGUAAAGCUCUGUUGGUAGUGAAGAAAGAUAGAGGUAGUAACUGGCCUUUAUUUGACGGUAAUUACUUAGAAAGUCACGGCUAACUACGUGCCAGCAGCCGCGGUAAUACGUAGGUGGCAAGCGUUGUCCGGAUUUAUUGGGCGUAAAGCGAGUGCAGGCGGUUCAAUAAGUCUGAUGUGAAAGCCUUCGGCUCAACCGGAGAAUUGCAUCAGAAACUGUUGAACUUGAGUGCAGAAGAGGAGAGUGGAACUCCAUGUGUAGCGGUGGAAUGCGUAGAUAUAUGGAAGACACCAGUGGCGAAGGCGGGCUCUCCGGCUGCCCCUGCCUCUUAGGUUUGAAAGCAGGGUACGCCUAUAG